rnacentral:rRNA from 1 species
GUAGGGUGCAAGCGUUGUCCGGAAUUAUUGGGCGUAAAGAGCUCGUAGGCGGUCUGUCGCGUCGGAUGUGAAAACUCGGGGCUCAACCCCGAGCCUGCAUUCGAUACGGGCAGACUUGAGUUCGGCAGGGGAGACUGGAAUUCCUGGUGUAGCGGUGAAAUGCGCAGAUAUCAGGAGGAACACCGGUGGCGAAGGCGGGUCUCUGGGCCGAUACUGACGCUGAGGAGCGAAAGCGUGGGGAGCGAACAGGAUUAGAUACCCUGGUAGUCCACGCCGUAAACGGUGGGUGCUAGGUGUGGGGAACUUUCCACGUUCUCCGUGCCGCAGCUAACGCAUUAAGCACCCCGCCUGGGGAGUACGGCCGCAAGGCUAAA